AGAAGUGAAAGAUCUCUACAAUGAAAACUAUAAAACACUGAUGCAAAAAAUUGAAGAGGAAACAAAAAAAUGGAAAGAUAAUCCAUGUUCAUCAACUGGAAGAAUCAAUACUGUUAAAAUGUCCAUACUACCCAAAGCUAUCUAAAGAUUCAAUGCAAUCCCUAUCAAAAUACUAAAGACAUUCUUCACAGAAAUAGAAAAAAAAUCCUAAAAUUUAUAUGGAAUCACAAAAGACCCAGAACAGCCAAAACUACCCUAAGCAAAAAGAACAAAAUGGAAGAAUCAUAUUGCCUAACUUAAAAUUAUAAUACAGAGCUGUAGUAACCAAAAUGACAUGGUAAUGGCAUAAAAACAGACACUCAGAUCAGUGCAAGAGAAUAGAGAACCCAGAGGUAAAUCCAUACAUCUACAGUAAACUCAUUUUCAACAAAGAUGACAAGAAUAUACAUUGGGAACAGGACAGUCUCUUCAAUAAAUGAUGCUGGGAAAACUAGAUAC
rnacentral:lncRNA from 1 species